rnacentral:tRNA from 1 species
UUUAAUAUGGCAGAUUAGUGCAAUGAAUUUAAAUUUCAUAAAUAGGAGUAAUUUUUUUAUUAAAU